CCGCAAAACCAGUUAGGAUAUAAUGAAUGUUUAGAGUGAAAACCUUACCCUGAAUAUCUUUUUUCCAUUUUUGUGUGUAAGUUAUGAUCAUUAUUAUUAUCAGUUCAGUCACACCUCUCGUCUAUGGUGUGAGAAAAAUAAUGACAGACAGUUGUUGAUAUCAGACAGCGAAUGUCGUCAGGAUAAUAUGAUCUCCAUUUCGUAUUUUUCGAAAGCGAAUAGUGACAAAGUUUUACUUUUAUUGCUUUUAAUACCUCAUUUCAUCUAACGUAAGUUAAACAAACAACUGCAAAUAACAACAACGAUGUAAACGUGGCAGAUUACUGCGGGUAUCGCUCAUGAUGAGAGCGUGAAUGACGUCACGGGUUUGCGUGUGGAUAGGAUGGUGUGAGUACAAGCCAGAAGAUGUGAUACUUAUCUAAAGGUACAGCAUAAUAUAUACACACAUAUUGAAUAGUAAAAAUAAAGCAUUAUCCUUUUAAAUGGACGAUAUAUAAUUAUAUAAUAACAUUGCAUACUUUGAAAAAUAAGUUCUGGUUAAAAUCUGUUGGCUUCACUUUGAUGGAAUAUUGGAAAUGGUUGUAAAAUAUACCCCAUCGUGUUGUAUACAUUCGAAUCAUACAACCAUUCUCGGCUCUGAAUGAUUGUAACACAGUACUCCAAACAGGAACAUGAGUAUUUACACUAAUAUAUAGUUUCACGUGAGUGGUGUAAUAAUAUCAUCGCUUGUGACUUUUUGUUGAUGACGUCAUGGCACUGUUGUUGCUAUGGUAACAUUUUAAAGGAUGGCGUUUACAGUUUACUCCUUGGAGAGGAGGCUUCACAGGGAGCGCGGAAAAGGGGAUGGUCAGGUAUUAAAAAAUAGUUUCAUGAUCGACACGAAGAACUGUUAGACAGAGGUAGAGCUGAAACUGUUGUCAUGAGAGACAAGGAUCGGGCUAGAGAUUGAUGGCAUGAGAGAGAAAGAUCGGGCUAGAGACUGACGUAAUGAGAGAGGAAGGUCGGGCUAGAGACUGACGUAAUGAGAGACAAAGAUCGGGCUAGAGAUUGAUGGCAUGAGAGA